GCCGGCGUAGCUCAGUUGGUAGAGCAGCUGUCUUGUAAACAGCAGGUCAUCGGUUCGAUUCCGGUCGCCGGCUCCA
rnacentral:tRNA from 2 species